rnacentral:rRNA from 1 species
AAAACUCUGUUGUUAGAGAAGAACAAGGGUGAGAGUAACUGUUCACCCCUUGACGGUAUCUAACCAGAAAGCCACGGCUAACUACGUGCCAGCAGCCGCGGUAAUACGUAGGUGGCAAGCGUUGUCCGGAUUUAUUGGGCGUAAAGCGAGCGCAGGCGGUUUCUUAAGUCUGAUGUGAAAGCCCCCGGCUCAACCGGGGAGGGUCAUUGGAAACUGGGAGACUUGAGUGCAGAAGAGGAGAGUGGAAUUCCAUGUGUAGCGGUGAAAUGCGUAGAUAUAUGGAGGAACACCAGUGGCGAAGGCGGCUCUC